UGGGACCUUACUUGUCGCAGCCACAACACCGCCACCACCCGCCGCCGCCGCCGCCGCCGCCUCCACCACCUCCUCGUCGCCCUCGUCUUCUAGCCAUGGCUGCGCAGCUGCUGCCUGCGCCCUAGUCGGGAGUUCGAAAGCGUCAGUCGGUCUCCUGGAAAGAGUGGCGGGGAGAGGCAGGCUGCGCGCUCGAAGGAGCGGGGAGAGGCGGCUUUCCAGGGGACAGGGAGAAAGAAUGAUUGGCCUUAAGAAAGAUGAAGACAGCAGUGGCUGGAGCUGCUUCAUCCGGUGCUUCCCUUGAUCAUGCCGGGCCGCAGGACUAUUCGGUCGCUGGAGCUGCCUUGCUUCCAGGGUCACCGCCUGUUCCCUUAGCUGCUUCCUGCUGCCUUCUCUUAAUUGCCCAGGUUGCCUCAGGGAGUGUUUUGUGACCAACCUUAGCCACCAUGGCAGCCAUUUUGUGAGCACACCUACAGCGUUCUGUCAAAACUCCAAAUGUGCCUGCUGACCCCCAAAGGAUGGAGACCUCUGCUCUACCUCCUCCUCCUCCUCCUCCUCCUUCACCACCACCACAAUACAGAAGAAACAUGCACUCAGGUGCUUCAUACCCUACAUCACGAUGGUAGCUUGCAGGUGGAAAGAAGUGUUGGCCUCCUUUCUGACACUGCAGUGCCACCGCUGAAGAUGGCCAGAAGGUAGUACUGCAGCUUCCAGCUCAGGAUGAAUCUGGUUGAGCAAGGUGCCAAUAGAGCCCCAUCUAGCUCAAUAAAGAUGUCAACAUUGGGUUUGGCUCCUCAGUAUGACAUUGCUCGGUAAAGAGUAUUGUGAAAUGCCUCCUUUCCUCUAGUCUUGAUUUGCUGCUUGGUAUGUCUGGGCUUAGAUCAGAUCAUGUCUUCCUGCAGGAAAUGGUUGGGCUUAAACACAAAACUGCAUCAUGUCUCAGUUUAAGAUAGGGAGCUUCAAUAACACCACUGCUAUUUUCUAUGUUAGCGUUUUUGAGUAUUUUAAGAGAAAGAGAGAGUGAAGGAGAGAAAGGCCUUAGCUAGACCUAAGGUUUAUCCCGGGAUCGUCCUGGGAUCAUCCCUGUUCAUGUAAAUGACACACAGGGGAUCCAGGGAGCAGGCAGGGACAACCCCGGAACGAUCCCGGGAUAACCCUUAGGUCUAGCUAAGGUCAAAGAUAAGGGAAGGGUGUGGUCACAAAAACUUUCAUCAGGUGAAAGUAGCCUGUCUGUGGAAGGAAUCUUAAGGGCACAGUAACGACCCUUCCUAUGUGGCUCCGUGAUUCUGAAAUUCCAUCCCCAGAGAGGCUCUCCUGCUGAUGCCAGGCAAAUAUCCUUUUAUUUUAUUUUUAUCCCUAGAUCUUUUAAACGAUGCCAUGGUUCUAAGUGCUUUAGGGUGUUUUUUUUUUAA